AUUGAACGCUGGCGGCAUGCCUUACACAUGCAAGUCGAACGGCAGCACGGGGCAACCUGGUGGCGAGUGGCGAACGGGUGAGUAAUAUAUCGGAACGUACCCAGAAGUGGGGGAUAACGCAGCGAAAGUUGCGCUAAUACCGCAUACGAUCUACGGAUGAAAGUGGGGGACCUGUAAGGGCCUCAUGCUUUUGGAGCGGCCGAUAUCUGAUUAGCUAGUUGGUGAGGUAAGAGCUCACCAAGGCAUCGAUCAGUAGCUGGUCUGAGAGGACGACCAGCCACACUGGAACUGAGACACGGUCCAGACUCCUACGGGAGGCAGCAGUGGGGAAUUUUGGACAAUGGGGGCAACCCUGAUCCAGCAAUGCCGCGUGAGUGAAGAAGGC
rnacentral:rRNA from 1 species